rnacentral:rRNA from 1 species
UGGGGAAUAUUGGGCAAUGGGCGCAAGCCUGACCCAGCAACGCCGCGUGAAGGAAGAAGGCUCUCGGGUUGUAAACUUCUUUUAUCAGGGACGAAACAAAUGACGGUACCUGAUGAAUAAGCCACGGCUAACUACGUGCCAGCAGCCGCGGUAAUACGUAGGUGGCAAGCGUUAUCCGGAUUUACUGGGUGUAAAGGGCGUGUAGGCGGGAUGGUAAGUCAGAUGUGAAAACUAUGGGCUCAACCCAUAGCCUGCAUUUGAAACUGUAGUUCUUGAGUGCUGGAGAGGCAAUCGGAAUUCCGUGUGUAGCGGUGAAAUGCGUAGAUAUACGGAGGAACACCAGUGGCGAAGGCGGAUUGCUGGACAGUAACUGACGCUGAGGCGCGAAAGCGUGGGGAGCAAACAGGAUUAGAUACCC